rnacentral:tmRNA from 1 species
CCCCUUUCCAAGUCCCCUGAAAGUUUCUAUAUUAUUAAGUGCUGGGAAACCGGCUAUGGCGAUAAACGCUUUAUGGAAUAAGCGUUGCGGACCCGGGGGCAGUGCCCGGCGCCUCCACCAAUUCCUUCCCCCUCGGCCAAGGUUCCGACGAGGAUUUCAAAUGGGGGCGAAACAGGAUCGACGCGCGUGGUAAAGAUAGGGUUUUCGCCCGGCAUGGCACCACCGUUAUCGGGCCAACUUGAUAAAUGCCAAUGAUAACGAGGCAUUUGCUUUAGCCGCUUAAGGCUGAAACGGGGUUCGGGGGGCACCUGGCAACAGAAGCCCCCCACU